UUGAACGCUGGCGGCAGGCCUAACACACGCAAGUCGAACGGUAACAGGAAACAGCUUGCUGUUUCGCUGACGAGUGGCGGCCGGGUGAGUAAUGUCUGGGAAACUGCCUGAUGGAGGGGGAUAACUACUGGAAACGGUAGCUAAUACCGCAUAACGUCGCAAGACCAAAGAGGGGGACCUUCGGGCCUCUUGCCAUCGGAUGUGCCCAGAUGGGAUUAGCUAGUAGGUGGGGUAACGGCUCACCUAGGCGACGAUCCCUAGCUGGUCUGAGAGGAUGACCAGCCACACUGGAACUGAGACACGGUCCAGACUCCUACGGGAGGCAGCAGUGGGGAAUAUUGCACAAUGGGCGCAAGCCUGAUGCAGCCAUGCCGCGUGUAUGAAGAAGGCCUUCGGGUUGUAAAGUACUUUCAGCGGGGAGGAAGGGAGUAAAGUUAAUACCUUUACUCAUUGACGUUACCCGCAGAAGAAGCACCGGCUAACUCCGUG
rnacentral:rRNA from 1 species